AUACUGACGCUGAGAUGCGAAAGCGUGGGGAGCAAACAGGAUUAGAUACCUGGUAGUCACGCUGUAAACGAUGUCGAUUUGGAGUUUGUUGCCUAGAGUGAUGGGCUCCGAAGCUAACGCGAUAAAUCGACCGCUGGGGAGUACGGCCGCAAGGUUAAAACUCAAAUGAAUUGACGGGGGCCCGCACAAGCGGUGGAGCAUGUGGUUUAAUUCGAUGCAACGCGAAGAACCUUACCUGGUCUUGACAUCCAUAGAAUUCUGCAGAGAUGUGGGAGUGCCUUCGGGAACUAUGAGACAGGUGCUGCAUGGCUGUCGUCAGCUCGUGUUGUGAAAUGUUGGGUUAAGUCCCGCAACGAGCGCAACCCUUAUUCUUUGUUGCCAGCGAUUUGGUCGGGAACUCAAAGGAGACUGCCGUUGAUAAAGCGGAGGAAGGUGGGGACGACGUCAAGUCAUCAUGGCCCUUACGACCAGGGCUACACACGUGCUACAAUGGCGUAUACAAAGGGAAGCGAAGGUGCGAGCUGGAGCGGAUCUCAUAAAGUACGUCUAAGUUCGGAUUGGAGUCUGCAACUCGACUCCAUGAAGUCGGAAUCGCUAGUAAUCGUAGAUCAGAAUGCUACGGUGAAUACGUUCCCGGGCCUUGUACACACCGCCCGUCACACCAUGGGAGUGGGUUGCACCAGAAGUAGAUAGCUUAACCGCGAGGGGGGCGUUUACCACGGUGUGAUUCAUGACUGGGGUGAAGUCGUAACAAGGUAACCA
rnacentral:rRNA from 1 species